ACCCUCUACUCGCCAAGAAGAAAGCGGCCAUAUUGCGCAUCUGGUCCAGCUUCUAUCAAGACAAAGUUGUUUUGGAGGGAUGAAGUUAAAUAGAUCCUGGACCUUAGCCUGGCCUGGAGUAGGCGAGCUCCACAGAAUACAUCUCCAUGACCGGGUGAGCGCUUCCAAACCAAAAAGUCUUGUUCUGGAGAGCCCAGUCCGUCACGGGCUGCUGCUUGUACACUCAGCUAACAGCCAGGGGGCGCCAUAGCACCAGGAAAAAAAAUUGAAGGAUACCACCCCGUCGACUUGACUUGACACUCCUGUUUAAGAGGUGGGGGAGAACAGAUUUGCAAUCGGCUUGGCCGCUUUUCCUCCCUUCUUGGCUACAGGGCGAGUAAGCGGGCCGAGCUCAGUCGUCACUGUCGGACAGGGCCUCGUAUUGCUCUGACAGCAGAGACUGCCACACACGCUGCUGGCCCACCUGAGCGCCAGCGGGGGGCGGCUGAUGCUGCUGCUGGCUCUGUAUGGAAGGGGACGAUAUGGAGGUGGGUGGCGUGCUGCUCAUGAUGCGCAUGGUCAGCGGAUUGUAAGGGAACUGCAUGGACCCUGUAAUGGGAAACAUAAUGUUAAUAAACAUGUCAGUAAUUCCAAAUACAAAACUGUACUUUUCUGUAGAAAACGGUCUCAAAAAGACGGGUCUUAUAUGAGGUGUCAAGAGGAUUUGUGGAUUUCUUCUUGUAAUUUGCGUAAUUACACUGCACCACAAUGCGGACCGGGUAUC